AAGUCGUAACAAGGUUUCCGUAGGUGAACCUGCGGAAGGAUCAUUAAAAGAGAAGUCGCCCCGGGGCCCUAAAAAAUCCCCUGGGGUAACAAAUCUCCACCCCUUGCUUGUUAUACCAAACUGUUGCUUUCGCGGGACAGCUGGAGGCUCUCGUGGCCUCCCCGCCGGCUUUUAAUCUACCCCUUCGGGGGAAGGUUGGGCUGGUGCCGCCCGCGAACGGCCAAAAUUAUAAAACCUUGAAGUAAACAUUGAAGUCUGAUUUUUAUACUAUGAAAAUAGCCUAAAACUUUCAACAACGGAUCUCUUGGUUCUG
rnacentral:misc_RNA from 1 species